AGAGUUUGAUCCUGGCUCAGGACGAACGCUGGCGGCGCGCUUAACACAUGCAAGUCGAGCGAGAACCAGGCCUUCGGGCCUGGGGAAAGCGGCGAACGGGUGAGUAACACGUGGGUAACCCACCCUUGGUACUGGGAUAGCCCGGGGAAACCCGGAUUAAUACCGGAUGGCCCAACAGCUCUUCGGGGCGGUUGGAAAAGGGAGCUUCGGCCUCCGACCAAGGACGGGCCCGCGGCGGAUUAGCUUGUUGGUGGGGUAACGGCCCACCAAGGCGACGAUCCGUAGCUGGUCUGAGAGGAUGGCCAGCCACGUUGGGACUGAGAGACGGCCCAGACUCCUACGGGAGGCAGCAGUGGGGAAUCUUGCGCAAUGGCCGAAAGGCUGACGCAGCGACGCCGCGUGGGGGAGGAAGGCCUUCGGGUUGUAAACCCCUGUUGCCCGGGACGAAUGCGCUUGAUUGCAGGCGUUGACGGUACCGGGUGAGGAAGCACCGGCUAACUCCGUGCCAGCCGCCGCGGUAAUAC
rnacentral:rRNA from 1 species